AUGGAAAACACUAAGACAAAAACACCGACCAGUUCAGCGGCCAAAGCAGAAGCAGAGCAGAAUUCGUAAGUCAAGAGUCGAAAGAAAGAUCUUUUUGUCUGUCACUAGUGAUAUUUCGAAAACCUACCGGUGGCGACUUGCGUCGUUUUGAAAGCAAGUCUUUGGUUUCAUUUGGCCAUGCAUCUAAAAUAAAUUGGUAUGGAGGGAGUUGCAUUUUUCACCCAAGGUGGAGCAUUUACCCGACUUUGACAAUUAUCACUUCAUGCAUCUAAUGUCAAUGCAAACCAAUGAAGCAAGGAAAUGGUUAUUCUCUCUUACGUUACUCAUGAGCUUCAUAACUUUCUUGCGAAGGAAAUCAAUCCGAU